UUCUUUCUGGAUACCAUGUGUUUUGGAAAUGACCUAACUCGACAUAAUUCAAAUUAUAAGGGGGACAGCUGGGUAAAUGUUCAUAAGUAACUUUGGGGUCUGUUUAAUGUUUGAUACUCGUGGCGGACGCUUUCAGAAACCAUGCUCAAAAUUGACUGUUUAACCUUUUCAGCUGUUGUCACAAAACGUCGCUUUACGUUGAACUAAAUCAUAAUUAAGAUAAAUCACUACUUAUCAAAUUAACGAAGACCAAAUUCCGAGUUAACGAGAACCUUGUCAGAGGUUAAGAUUCGAAAAUAACGUUCACCUCGAGUAUCUCCCAGUUUUUAUCAGCUUCCUUGAUUCCCGGAAAACAUGGAGAUGAAGCUGUGUUUUUGGUACAGUUGAUGAAGCUAUGCUUUUGAUGCAGUUAUAUUUUUAAUGAAGUUCAAUUGUAUUUAAUGAAGUUAUACUUUUGAUGCAAUUGAUGAAGCUGUAUUUUGGCUAUAACUCAUGUAGUUAUGUUUUUGAUACAUUUGAUGAAACUGUACUUUGGAUGCAAUUUAUGAAGCUACAUUUUAGAUGCAAUUGAUGAAGUUACAUUUUGGCUACAUCUCAUGUGGUUGUGUUUUAUAUGCAGUUCAUGAAUGAGUAUUGUGAAUGCAGUUGCUGAAGUUAUAUUUUGGAAGACAUUCAUGAAACUGUAUUUUGAAUGCAAUUGAUAGAGCUACAUUUUAGAUGCAAUUGAUGAAGUUACGUUUUGGCUACAUCUCAUGUGGUUGUGUUUUAUAUGCAGUUUAUGAAUGAGUAUUGUGAAUGCAGUUGCUGAAGAUAUAUUUUGAAAGACAUUCAUGAAACUGUAUUUUGGAUGUACUUGAUGAAGCAACAUUUUGGAUGUAGUUGAUGAAGCCACAUUUUGGAUGUAGUUGAUGAAGUUAUAUUUUGGUUACAUCUCAUGUAGUUGUGUUUUGAAUAAACUUCAUGAAUGAGUAUUGUGGAUGCAGUUGCUGAAGCUAUAUUUUGGAAGACAUUUAUUGAAGCUACAUUAUGGAUGCACUUGAUGAAACUACAUUGUGGAUGCAAUUGAUGAAACUGUAUUUUAGAUAUAACUGAUGGAGCUGUAUUUUGACUACAAUUCAUGAAACCAUAUUCUGAAUAUAUCUCAUGUAGCUAUUUA